ensembl:snoRNA small nucleolar RNA SNORD113/SNORD114 family
UGGAUCGAUGAUGACUACUGGUGGCGUAUGAGUCGUGUACAAUGAAUACGUUCUGGAACUCUGAGGUCCGA